CCCUUAGAUGUUCUGGGCCGCACGCGCGCUACACUGAUGCAUUCAACAAGCCUAGCCUUGACCGAGAGGUCCGGGUAAUCUUUGAAACUGCAUCGUGAUGGGGCUAGAUUAUUGCAAUUAUUAAUCUUCAAUGAGGAAUGCCUAGUAAGCGUGAUUCAUCAAAUCGCGUUGAUUACGUCCCUGCCCUUUGUACACACCGCCCGUCGCUCCUACCGAUUGAAUGUGUUGGUGAGGAGCUCGGAUUGGCAGCAGUUGGUGGUUCGCCACCGGCUAUUGCUGAGAAGUCCUCCAAACCGCCCCAUUUAGAGGAAGGAGAAGUCGUAACA
rnacentral:rRNA from 1 species